CUAGAAGAUCCUUCUCCCUUCUUCCUCCAAGGAUUGGGGACAUGUUUCUGAGGACUUGGUUUGACUCUAGUGAGUGGCAUGUUGUACUAUACCCCAUUGGAAUUUAUGCUUUCUACCAAUACUCUGUCAGUGUCCAUGCCCAAGGCUGGGCUCUGGGCAUCCUGGCUCAGCCCAGUUACAGGGCAAGUUGCUUGCGCAUCUGUGAGCCCUCCCUGAGAACACAGAGUUUCCUCCAGAAUCCUGAUGCAUGAGGUAGCAGCAAUGAUUCUACCUAUCAAAAGUGCACCUAAGUCAAAGAUCACAUACCACUUUUAUUGUCAUGAAACGUAGCUGUAAAUUCAACAUACAGAAGGUGGAUUUCUUCUGUUCAAGCUAAUUAAAGCAGGUGUCAGUUUGAAUGAAAAAUAUAUCAAUCAGUAGGAUACAACUUGUAGAAUUUAUUAUUCUGUAAGACCAUUUACAGGCCCGGGAAUCUGUAUCUUUUAUAUGGAGAUGCUGGUGGAAAGAACUGGAUGAGAUAAUUCUCAAGGGCCUCUUUAGUUCUAUAGUUCAGCUGCUCCAGGAAGAAAAGUUCAGCUGAACUCCAAACAUGGCGUGGAGUGAAAAGUAAGGUACCAAGAAGAGAGGAAAUUAGCAAGACAUUAAGAACUCAGAAAAGUGACUUGAAAUCUGAUGCUGGAGAAGAGCGCAGCCCAUCUAAGCAUCCCAGUCACAAAGUCCUUCUUGGUCAGCUCCCAGCUGCUGGCAAAGGACCAGUCCUCACGACACAAGAAGGAAAAGUUGGUGUUUCUUUGAUUUCUGGUUUUUCAGUUCAGUGUAUGUGGAAUCGAUUUGGGUAAGUCAGCAAUUCAGCAAGAUCAGCUGUCUGCAGCAACAUGGAACAACACAGUGAGCAGGAGGAAAUAAAUCUCCCAGUCUCUGGAUGACCUCCAAACUUCUACUCCCCACUUCCAAAAGCCAAGCCUUUUGUUUGAAGGAAAUACUUAGUUCUUUGUUUUCCUGUGGUUUCUCCAUCUGUGAAGACAUUGGCAUGCCUUUCCUUAAGUGGGAAGUUCAGACACAACCAAGGGGUCUACAAGCACACUCAGGAAGAUGACCUGGUGGUGGCUUCCUCAGCAGACUUCAUAGGCUUGACAAGCAUUAUGAAAAAGCAAAGAAGAAAUUUGCCUUCUCUAGAUUCCAGUCUAUUGGAUAACUGACCAAGAAGCUUCUUAAUCCAGAUAAGAGAAGCAACAUGGCAGAAAGAGGGAACAAACUCUCAAUAUCCUGUGAACUACUUUCACUAAGUGCUGUAUGCACUGUAACUACUUCAUGAAAGUAAGAAACUACCCUCCAUGGUCUGCAUCUAAACUGGAGAACCAACCUCGGAUCCCAUCACCUUCUCUUUCAAGGAAACUUUGCUUUUCACUGUGGUUCAAGAUGACCUUUGGCUGGAAAACAAAAUGUGGGGCUGAAUUCGGUAAAACUUGGGUUCUUUGAUUCUUCCCAACACUCUGGGCCUAGAGGGAUAAAAAUUCCUCCUGAUAGACUUCAGUAGCCUCUGUGAGGAAGCUCAACCAGUCCCUGCUGGCUUUCUGGAUAAUAAUUCCAUUCAUAUCAAUCAGCCUUUCUGCAUUGGUGCUUAAGAAAGAGGAGUGAUUAGGAUGGGACCCUGGGAACCAAGUCUUUCUGAAGAUGUUUCCCCUCUGCCUUUUGAGGGUUGUUGGUCUCCUGCUGGUCAUACUGCCCCAGAUAGGGGUCUUCCUUCUUAGAUCACAGGCCUUCUUCUGGAGAAAGCAGAUGACAGUAGAAUGAAGUUGAGUAAUUUUAGUUAAACGAAGUGAAUUCUUCAUGAAACAUGCUCCCAGUAACCUGGGUGGUGGUGCAAAAGCUGGAGCAGGAGGACAACAGCAAAAAGUAGCCCAGUUAAAAUCCAGAGGCUGCAUCAACUGCCAAAAUGGGGCAUAACUAGAAUAGGAGGUUUCACACCAGAGAACACUUUCACAUGCCGGAGAAUGAAGGAAAGACCAGCCCCCUACCAGCCUGAAUUCAUGACAUCAGCCUUUGGAAGCCCCUUCUUCAGCUCCAGGCAUUAUUACAGUUCAACAACUACUCUUGAGAGAGGGACAGAGGAGCCUGGGUCAGGCUCAAAAGACUAUAAUUCCUAAAGAUACGAAUAACAAAAUUAAAAGUAUAGAUCACGAAAUUUUUGUCAAUCAUGCACUGUGUAUGAAAUAAAAACUAAGCAUACUGACUUCUGUAUCUAUAUCUGCAUAUGUUGAUUUAGAGAUACAAAUGUUACAGCAUACAGCUUUGGAACCUCUAUAUUAACCCUUAGUCAUUAGUACAAAUUAUACCUUGGUGAGCCACUGCUUUGAAACUUGUUCAAUUUCUUAUUUGGCGCAUUUUGAUGCAAAAAUUUUGUCCUGAUACUCACUGAUUUUGGUAGUCAUCCCAUCUCUCAGAACCAAAUAAUGAGAUAGACAUUGGGAAAUAAAAGGAAAACCUCAAGGGUAAAGGGCAACUCAAGGGUAAAGGGUAAAGGGUAAAAGGACAUUGUGAACCGAAAGGAAAACCUCAAGGGUAAAGGGAUGUGGGAGGGCAACUGGAAUGUGGGAAAAAAGAAGGGAAAGAAGGAGAAAUUUUGUACGUAUGUAUAUACAG